UACGUAGGGACCGAGCGUUGUCCGGAAUCAUUGGGCGUAAAGAGCGUGUAGGCGGCCACUUAAGUCCUGCGUGAAAUCUUGCGGCUCAACCGCAAGCGGUCGUGGGAAACUGGGUGGCUAGAGUGCGGGAGAGGAGAGUGGAAUUCCUGGUGUAGCGGUGAAAUGCGCAGAUAUCAGGAGGAACACCGGUGGCGAAGGCGGGUCUCUGGGCCGUAACUGACGCUGAGGAGCGAAAGCGUGGGGAGCGAACAGG
rnacentral:rRNA from 1 species